rnacentral:rRNA from 1 species
CCGUAGGUGAACCUGCGGAAGGAUCAUUCAUAAUAAGUGUUUUAUGGCACUUUUUAAAUCCAUAUCCACCUUGUGUGCAAUGUCAGUCGAUCUUCUUCAUGGAGAUCGACCAAACAUCAACCUUUAUUUUUUAACUCUUUGUCUGAAAAAUAUUAUGAAUAAACAAUUCAAAAUACAACUUUCAACAACGGAUCUCUUGGCUCUCGCAUCGAUGAAGAACGCAGCGAAAUGCGAUACGUAAUGUGAAUUGCAGAAUUCAGUGAAUCAUCGAAUCUUUGAACGCAUAUUGCGCUCUUUGGUAUUCCGAAGAGCAUGCUUGUUUGAGUAUCAGUAAACACCUCAAAGCUUUUGAUUUUUUUUGAAAGCUUUGGACUUGAGCAAUCCCAACACCAAUCUUUUUCAGAUCGGCGGCGGGUUGCUUGAAAUGCAGGUGCAGCUGGACAUUCUCCUGAGCUAAAAGCAUAUUCAUUUAGUCCCGUCAAACGGAUUAUUACUUUUGCUGCAGCUAACAUAAAGGGAGUUUGACCGUAUUGGCUGACUGAUGCAGGAUUUCACAAGGGUCGGCAACGAUUCUUGUUAAACUCGAUCUCAAAUCAAGUAAGACUACCCGCUGAACUUAAGCAUAUCAAUAAGCGGAGG